GCUACUCAGGAGGCUGAAGCAGGAGAAUGGUGUGAACCCAGGAGACGGAGCUUGCAGUGAGCCCAGAUCGUGCCACUGGACUCCAGCCUGGGCGACAGAGCGAGAUUCCGUCACACACACACACACACACACACACACACACACACACACACACACACCACUUAAAUGCAGAAAUUAAAACUCUAUUUCUGUAUAUCACUAUGGUAAAGGGUUGUUGGUUACCUGUACCAUCAAUCCACAAAAGGUAUAAAACUUCAUGUAUUAUUCUUAUUAUCUUGUGCUGAUACCAGAGUACCUUUAAAAUACCACCCAAAUUUAGUUCCGAGAGGCAGAUGGAGAGUUUGGAUUGUCUCCAAAAAUCUAAAAGGCCCUUGUUUUGACAAUUAGGUUUACGCAUGUGGUACAUAUUGAGGGGCACAUAAUCACUGGUGGAUUGGAAAUGCAUACCUAUCCUUGUUCCUUCCCUAACUAAAACGGCAUUUAAAAGGAGCGAAACUCACCAGGAUGGAGAAAUCGAGAGAUUAAAAAAAAAAAGCAAGCUAGAAAAUGGACAGAUUAGUUUAUAAUUUAGCAGCUUCAGGAAAUGGAAUACCAAGGCCAGCAGUGGGGGCAAAAAAAAACUCAGAAAUUAAAAAAAAAAAAAAAACCAAAAAAAAAAAAAAAUGAAGGACUUGGCAGCAGUCCAAACCCCUGGAGGUGGGGGCAAAAUAAGGAUUGGAUGAAUCUGUCUAACCACUCAAAUCCCAGAUCCUUUUCCCUACACUGCGCAGUUGGGCAACAGCCCUCUCUCAUUUGUUCAUUCUCUAGAAAAGGUAGCCCAGUCUCUGGGAUGGCAGGGGUGUGUUACACUGAAAGCAGAGGCCCAACCCUCACCCUGCUGGGUUCUAGAAUGCUGGUAGACGGUCUAUCACCCUUCAGGCACGAUACAAAUUGAUUGAGAAUCAGCUAAGACCUUGACAUAAUGGCAUAAAAAUUCCCUAACCAAUCAUAUGUCAUACAAAGUUCCCUAACUAAUCAGCUGGGACAGAUCAUUUUUUCAGUCGACAAACUGCACUCAUGCACUCAGAGCUGCCUGUUGGCUCUUUAGUCCCCACUCAGAUACAGGGAAUGCUUAGAAUCGUUAAGAUUUACAGAUUAUAAAACAAGACAAUUUAGGCAGGGCACAGUGGCUCACGUCUGUAAUCUCAGCACUUUGGGAGGGCAAGGCAGGUGGAUCACCUGAGGUCAGGAGUUUGAGACCAGCCUGGUCAACAUGGUGAAACCCUCUCUAAUAAAAAUACAAAAACCAGACAGGCAUGGUGGUGAUGCAUCUGUAAUCCCAGCUACUCGGGAGGCUGAGGCACGAGAAUCACUUGAACCCGAGAGGCAGAGGUUACAGUGAGCCAAGAGUGAGACCCUGUCUCAAAACAAAAACAAGACAAUUUAGAUUGUCCAGAGCUGGAGGAAAGGGGACCAAAGUGAUGAAGGGAAAAAAGAACAUUCUUAGCGAUAAAACAUAUUGUUGCAACCUUGGCUCAGAAGUUUAAAAUUGCCUAAGUGGAAGACAGAAGGCUUGGAAUAGAGCUGAGAAUCCUCCACCCCACCAUACCUGGUGAAAGCAGAGCAAUUUGAGAAACAUAAAAUAGAAAAUAGAUGGGAGAAAACCAAUCAACUCACAGAACUAAAAUUCUUAAACUUCAGCCAAGUGUCCCCUCCUCUGCAUAUUGCUGCUAAAAACUGAAUGGGGACAAAGUUGUAGGCACAGGUACGCACCAGAUGAAGUUGGGCACCAUUAUUUACAAAUAAAGGUUAGCUGGACUCUGGGGUUAAAAAUAAUCUAAAUAAGAUAUUGCAGUAUCUUUAGCACAUCUACACAACCCCUUUGCUCUACUGCCAAUGUGCAAUCACUUCAUCUGUCACUCAAUAGCAGAUACUUAACUCUUUAAUUGCCCAUAACUGAUCCAGUGCUAAUCUUCUCAGGCCAUCAACAAAUCAACUGCAAAGGGUUUUGACAGACAUAAGCAGUAUCAUGGUAGAAUCAGGGUUUGAAAGACCACUUAACAAUGGAAUUGCUUUUAAAGCUGAUGACAAUUACAUACAUAGGUAAAGGAGUUCAGGCGUAUGAAAGAUGUUCUUUUUCUCUCCAUUUAGUACCCCAAGACCACAAAAAAUGAAGCAUGCUGUGUAGAUUAAGCUUUCUACAAAUUGCCAUUAAAAAAAAAAACUUUUUACAGUCUGUUUCCGAUAAAUAAAACAAAAUCUUCAACUGUGUAACACUAAAGUCACAUUGCCUUUUGAGUCUAGGUGGUUUGUGUUCCACUCCUUUCUGGGUGAAGACAUGCACUAUGAUUUAGAAGAUAUGUGUAGUAGAGGCCAUCUGUAUGCAAAGAGAAAAGUUUCUCCGGAUGUCUGAGUAGGAACUGAGACUUUUCAGGUUAGCUUUAACUUAAUGCAAAUGCCAGUAAAGACCAGAACUAGUUCGUUGCUUGUUCCUAGGCCAGGUUUAUCCUCAUUAUGAAAGCCUGCUGCCGUAAUUACUUGCAUCACACCUUUUUCCUCUCAGGAUGGAUGCGAUUCAUAGGAUUUACUCACAACUCAAAUGUAGAAGACUAAUUUUUGUUUUACAUUUUGAUUCCUGCCAAUUUAAGUUUCUACUAUUACUGUGUUUCUUUUCUUUUUUUGAGAUGGAGUCUUGCUCUGUCACCCAGGCUGGAGUGCGGUGGUGCAAUCUCCACUCACUGCAACUUCUGCCUCUCAGGUUCAAGCAAUUCUCCUGCCUCAGCCUCGAGUAGCUGGCACAGGUGUGCGCCACCAUGCCUGGCUAAUUUUUGUAUUUUUAGUAGAGAUGGCAUUUCACCAUGUUGGCCAGGCUGGUCUCAAACUCCUGACUUCAGGUGAUCUGCCUGCCUCAGCCUCCUGAAUUGUUGGGAUUACAGGCGUGAGCCACUGUGCCUGGCCUGUGCUUUAAUACUAUAAGGUUACAUUAAAAUUAAAUCAACUAAAAGGCAGCAAUACAAAACCUUCUCUGAUGCCCAACCAAAAGUCCAACUUACAAGGACAAAAGAGAAUGGUCAAGUACAUGCUAAAGAGAUCUUAAUACCAAGCUAUCAACCACUGGCAGUAUCUGCCAUUUGCAUCCAUGUGCCAGGCACUUUCAAGGCCUGGUAAGGUUAAGUUCUAGUGUCUUCAUCCUACAGACAAGAAACCAAGGCCCAGAGCAACUUGUCCAAAUCAGUAUAAUCAAUCUAAUAGGUAAUAAGGGUCGUUUAUUGAGCCCUGUGUGCCAGCCAGUUCUAAGCACCUUGUAACUGUUACAUCCUUAUAACCUUAUGAAGCUGCUACUUUUACUACCAUCAUUUUCUUUCUUUUCUUAUUAGAGAUAGGGUCUUACUUUGUUGCCCAGGCUGGAGUGCAGUGGUGUGAUCGCGGCUCACUGCAGCCUCCACCUCUUGGGCCCAAGCAAUCCUCCCACCUUGGCCUUUUGAGUAGCUGGGACUACCAGCUAAUUUUGAAUUUUUUUGGAGAGACACAGGUCUCCCUACAUUGCCCAGGCUAGUCUUGAACUCCUGAGCUCAAGCAAUCCUCUCACCUCAACCUUCCAAAGUGCUGGCAUUUACGAGCAUAAACCACUGUGCCUGGCCUUACCACGAUUUUCCAUCUGGGAAAACCGAAGCACAAAAGGGUUAGGUGACUAGCCUAUGUUCAUACAGACAGUAAAUGGCAGAGGCAGGAUUUGAGUCAAGCAGACUGGAGGCAAGGUCUACACCUUUAACCACCACCCUAUACUAGUGCAUUGCCUGAAUAAUUAAGUAAAUCUUUGAAUUUAAAGUUACUCCCCAAAAUAUUAAGUCACCCAGUUAACUAAAGUGUUCAAAGAACAAAGAGAUGAUGCUUUUCAUUUCAGCAGAGUUCAGAAGACUUCUUAAGGCCAAGACAGGUUAGGAAACUAAAAUAUAUACUCUAAAAAGAAGAAAAAAGGAAUUAAGCAAUGUGUGGCUUCUCUAACCCAGUAUUUCCAUUUAAUGGUAUUAAUGCCCAUAUUUACUUGGAAUAAAUCUAGCUUAAUUUGUCAAUCUAUUCAUUUAGUCCGGGUUUUAAAUUGUUAGGAGGCUAGUGAACUGAAGUGUCUAGAAAAGGCUGUCCUGGAAACAGUGCUCACAUAUAUACUGGACUUUACCAAAAUUUCACUGUUCUAUAUAUAACUUCCAGCAUUUUUUAGCAGAAUCAAUUUUCUUUCUAAUAAAGCAAGAUUGUUAAUACACAUAAAGCUGAUAUGUAAAAUUUUA
rnacentral:lncRNA from 10 species